rnacentral:rRNA from 1 species
GAUGAACGCUGGCGGCGUGCCUAAUACAUGCAAGUCGAGCGAACAGACGAGGAGCUUGCUCCUCUGACGUUAGCGGCGGACGGGUGAGUAACACGUGGAUAACCUACCUAUAAGACUGGGAUAACUUCGGGAAACCGGAGCUAAUACCGGAUAAUAUAUUGAACCGCAUGGUUCAAUAGUGAAAGACGGUUUUGCUGUCACUUAUAGAUGGAUCCGCGCCGCAUUAGCUAGUUGGUACGGUAACGGCUUACCAAGGCAACGAUGCGUAGCCGACCUGAGAGGGUGAUCGGCCACCCUGGAACUUGGACACGGUCCCUACUCCUACGGGAGGCAGCAGUAGGGAAUCUUCCGCAAUGGGCGAAAGCCUGACGGAGCAACGCCGCGUGAGUGAUGAAGGUCUUCGGAUCGUAAAACUCUGUUAUUAGGGAAGAACAAAUGUGUAAGUAACUAUGCACGUCUUGACGGUACCUAAUCAGAAAGCCACGGCUAACUACGUG